rnacentral:rRNA from 2 species
GAGUUUGAUCCUGGCUCAGAACGAACGYUGGCGGCGUGGAUUAGGCAUGCAAGUCGAACGGAAUUUCUAGCUUUUUCGGAAACAGUGGCGGAAGGGUGAGUAACACGUGGGUUACCUACCCUAGGGUUCGGGAUAACUUGCCGAAAGGCGGGCUAAUACCGGAUACGUCUAACUCUUAAUUGAGUUAAAAAGAAAGACGGGGACCUCGCAAGAGGCCUGUCACCCUUGGAUGGGCCCGCGGCCUAUCAGCUAGUUGGUGAGGUAAUGGCUCACCAAGGCUAAGACGGGUAGCUGGUCCGAGAGGAUGGUCAGCCACACUGGGACUGAGACACUGCCCAGACAUCUACGGAUGGCUGCAGUCGAGAAUCUUUAGCAAUGGGCGCAAGCCUGACUAUGCGACGCCGCGUGCAGGAUGAAGGCUUUCGGGUCGUAAAGCUCUGUCGAGGGGAAAGAAAUGUAUUGCGGCUAAUAUCCGCGAUACUUGACGGUACCCCUAAAGGAAGCACCGGCUAACUCCGUGCCAGCAGCCGCGGUAAUACC